rnacentral:other from 1 species
GCUAUCAUCAUUUAUUUCUUAUCUUCAUUCACCCCCGAAUGAUUUCUUAAAUGCUAAUUAAGCGCCGGGCAUAUUGCCCGGCUUUUUUUU